rnacentral:tRNA from 2 species
GGGCGCGUAGCUCAGUUGGUUAGAGCGCUACCAUGACACGGUAGAGGUCCCGGGUUCGAGUCCCGUCGUGCCCACAA